AAACCGGCACCUCAAGUGGUCAGGAUGAUUAUUGGGCCUAAAGCAUCCGUAGCCGGCUCUGUAAGUUUUCGGUUAAAUCUGUACGCUUAACGUACAGGCUGCCGGGAAUACUGCAGAGCUAGGGAGUGGGAGAGGUAGACGGUACUCGGGAGGAAGUGGUAAAAUGCUUUGAUCUCUCGAUGACCACCUGUGGCGAAGGCGGUCUACCAGAACACGUCCGACGGUGAGGGAUGAAAGCUGGGGGAGCAAACCGGAUUAGAUACCCGUGUAGUCC
rnacentral:rRNA from 1 species